AUGUCGAGGAGACAGUGUGUUUUUAAUUGUAAAGGCAAGUUUGUUUUAUUUUCACUGCCAAAGAAUGAAGAUCAGAAGAACCAAUGGCUAAAAUUCAUUUUUACCACAAUACCAGAGCAGUACAACAAAUCCCUUUUGUUGUGUUCACAACAUUUCACUGAUGACUGCUUUUCUAAUCUCGGCAGACCGGAGAUGUGUAGAGAGCUGUCAGGAGCGUUUGAAUCAGAUUCAAACAUCCUCCCAGUGGCAGAUGGCAGGAGAUGGCCCGAGCCGCAAGUGACGAGAGACCUGCAAAGGGGACAUGCUCUGUGCAUGUGUGUAUGUGAAAAUGAUGAGGUGGUGUGUUGCAUGAGUUCCAGAAGGCAAAGUAAAGACGCUGUGUGUGUGAUUGCACUGGAAUGGCAUAUGAGCUCUGUGGUUUGGUUCCCCCGUCCUUCCAUCUCUGCCUCUGUCUCUGUGAUAGUGUCUCAGCCGGGGAAUGGAGCACUGCAUGGUCCUAUAAACUGCAGAAUAACAACCCCCUCAGGAACAGGAAUUACUGACGGCCCCAGCUGCUCUAGCUACGGCCCACACAGACAUGUACAGACAGAAGUAUGUGCCAUAAACACUAACUCGUGAACCUGUGAUAAUGUUUACCGCCAUGCAUUUACAGUGCAUCGCAUGCAGAGACCCUCCAAAAACUAUUUGGAUAUUUAUGCUACAAUCAAAAUUAUAUUUUUGUUUGUUUGCUUGCAUUAUUUUUUUGGGUGGUUGUAGAAAACAAAAGCAAAGUUAUAAUAAUAAUUAAGGUAUUAUUUAUUAUUAUUAAUUAUUCAAAAAGGGACCACCUUUCUAAAAUAUAAUGGAAGUUAUAUAAUUUAAUUUAAAAAGGUUCAUUUAUAUGGUGUGUGAGAAAAUUAUUAGGGGGCAUAUUCUAAAUACAAUGUGUUGUUUCCCAAAUUAAA
rnacentral:lncRNA from 1 species